CUUCGGGGACAUUGGUGACAGGUGGUGCAUGGUUGUCGUCAGCUCGUGUCGUGAGAUGUUGGGUUAAGUCCCGCAACGAGCGCAACCCUUGUCUUUAGUUGCCAUCAUUAAGUUGGGCACUCUAGAGAGACUGCCAGGGAUAACCUGGAGGAAGGUGGGGAUGACGUCAAAUCAUCAUGCCCCUUAUGCUUAGGGCUACACACGUGCUACAAUGGGUAGUACAGAGGGUUGCCAAGCCGUAAGGUGGAGCUAAUCCCUUAAAGCUACUCUCAGUUCGGAUUGUAGGCUGAAACUCGCCUACAUGAAGCUGGAGUUACUAGUAAUCGCAGAUCAGAAUGCUGCGGUGAAUGCGUUCCCGGGUCUUGUACACACCGCCCGUCACACCACGGGAGUUGGAGACGCCCGAAGCCGAUUAUCUAACCUUUUGGAAGAAGUCGUCGAAGGUGGAAUCAAUAACUGGGGUGAAGUCGUAACAAGGUAGCCGUAUCGGAAGGUGCGGCUGGAUCACCUCCUUUCUAAGGA
rnacentral:rRNA from 1 species